CCGGGCCUAAGUUCCCUGGA
rnacentral:snRNA from 1 species